rnacentral:lncRNA from 10 species
GGGGCCUUUGUCUUGUGCUCCAGCUGGAGCUUUGGUCCCGUAUUCUCGGCUAUUUAUCCCCAGCUGCGGGAGGCCCUGGUGACUCUGCUGCUGCAGUGUCUGGUUUCCCUGUGACCUGCAGGUACUGGGAGUUACAUAGCUAAGAUGCCAGGACACCCCGAAAGCCGGAAAACGAGACGCAUUCUCACUAUGUUGCCCAGGCUGGUCUUGAACUCCUUCCCUCAAGUGAUUCUUCUGCCUAAUCCUCCCAAAGUUCUUAGAUUACAGGGACUACUGGCAUUCAGUGAUGUGGUCAUAGAAUUCUCUCCAGAGGAGUGGGCAUGCCUGGACCCUGCCCAGCGAAAUUUGUAUAGGGAUGUGAUGUUCGAGAACUACAGAAACCUGGUCUCCCUGGGACUUCCAGGACUAUGUUAAAAUAGAAGCAUUGAUAAUGGGCACAAUAUCACUUUGCAUUGGUGUCUGUGCAUUUGAAGGAGCAAACACCUCUACCAGUUUUUAUAAACUGGUUUAUACAGCUAUUUUAUCUUAUUCCA